CCGCCCGUCACAUCACGAAAGUGGGCUGUACUAGAAGACGCCGAGCCAACCUGCAAAGGGAGCAAGCGUCCACGGUAUGGUCCAUGAUUGGGGUG
rnacentral:rRNA from 1 species